rnacentral:lncRNA from 1 species
GGGAGAAACGCCUCUUGUCUUUCAUUUUCUUUACAUUUACACUGUUUAUGCAAAGGAACUGAAUCGGGUAGCUUAAUUUGUUUCUCAAUUUAUAAUUGUUGUGGUUACUAACCAAGUUUGUUUGUUUUUAUUCUUAUUUUACAUCAUGCAUUAUAGGCAUCAUAUUAGGAAGGUGUUGACUAGAGAUUUGGUUGCCAAAAAA